CCCUAAAAAGCUCCGCAAGCA
rnacentral:tRNA from 1 species